UAGUCCACGCCGUAAACGAUGAAUACUAGAUGCAGCGGGUAUCGACCCCUGCUGUGUCGUAGCUAACGCGUUAAGUAUUCCGCCUGGGGAGUACGGCCGCAAGGCUAAAACUCAAAGAAAUUGACGGGGGCCCGCACAAGCGGUGGAGCAUGUGGUUUAAUUCGAUGCAACGCGCAGAACCUCACCUGGGCUUGAAAUCCUCGGACCGCCAUAGAGAUAUGGGCUUUCUUCUUCGGAAGACUGAGUGACAGGUGCUGCAUGGCUGUCGUCAGCUCGUGUCGUGAGAUGUCAGGUUAAGUCCUAUAACGAGCGCAACCCCUAUCUUUAGUUACCAGCACUUCGGGUGGGACUCUAAAGAUACUGCCCCGGUCAACGGGGAGGAAGGUGGGGAUGGACGUCAAGUCCUCAUGGCCCUUAUGCCCAGGGCUACACACGUGCUACAAUGGACAGUACAGAGGGUCGCGACACUGCGAGGUGUAGCCAACCCCUUAAGCUAGUUCUUAGUUC
rnacentral:rRNA from 1 species